rnacentral:lncRNA from 10 species
GAGAUCCCUUGUAUACUUGCCCAGUUUCCCCCAUUGAUGACAUUUUGCAAAACUACAGUAAAAUAUCACAACCAGGAUAUUGACGCUGAUACAAUCCAACAACCUUAUUCAGAUUUCCUGUUUUAUUUGUACCUGUAUGUGUGUGUGUGUUGAGUUUUAUACAAUUUCAUCACCCACAUGUGAGUAUCCACCACCUCAAUCCAGAUUCUGAACAGUUAUAACAUGAAGAGGUCCCUUAUGUUGCCGUCUUAAAACCACACUUCCUCCCUUCCCAUUCCCCUUUCUGUACCUGAUUCCUGGCAACUACUAUUCUGCCCUCCAAUUCUAAAUUUUCUUUCAAAAACCUUAUAUAAAGGGAAUCAUAUGGCAUGUGACUUUUAGGGAUUGGCUUUUCUCUUGGCAUAAUUCCCUACAGAUUCAUCCAAGUCAUG